AUUGAACGCUGGCGGCAUGCCUUACACAUGCAAGUCGAACGGCAGCACGGGAGCAAUCCUGGUGGCGAGUAGCGAACGGGUGAGUAAUAUAUCGGAACGUGCCCAGUCGUGGGGAUAACGUAGCGAAAGCUACGCUAAUACCGCAUAUGAUCUAUGGAUGAAAGCGGGGGGAUCGCAAGACCUCGCGCGAUUGGAGCGGCCGAUAUCAGAUUAGGUAGUUGGUGAGGUAAAGGCUCACCAAGCCGACGAUCUGUAGCUGGUCUGAGAGGACGACCAGCCACACUGGGACUGAGACACGGCCCAGACUCCUACGGGAGGCAGCAGUGGGGAAUUUUGGACAAUGGGCGCAAGCCUGAUCCAGCAAUGCCGCGUGCAGG
rnacentral:rRNA from 1 species